GACAGCAAGGCCGAAUUACUUGAUGUUCGAGACCGGCCGAUCGGAAAAUUCAUCAAAAGAGGAUACAAAAUUACCUUUGACAGCGUUGACAAAGUCAACUUUGGCAAAGCAGUCGAGGCGUGUUUGUACAGGAAACUGCAGCUGCUGGCAAUUGACCAGUUCGGCGAUUCGAAUUUUAUCGACUCUUUUCAUGAAAAACUCGUCAAUUCUCUUUUGAAUACUAAAAAAGAGCCCAUAGAGUUCUUGUGGACGAGUGCGGAGCCGUGUUCGAAGAGCGAUCCGUUGAACAAAACCACGAAUUCGUGCUCGAGCGUCACCUGGUGUUCAAACAACGUGGAAACUCGACUUGACUACACGUUGAAUUUGGGAAAAUUAUCUCGGCCCUACUGCCUGAUUUACAAAAAGUCGACUCAGAGGCUCGUACCCGUUGACUGUUCCUUUGAAGCUAAUUUUAUA